rnacentral:lncRNA from 1 species
UAGAGACGGGGUUUCACCGUGUUAGCCAGGAUUGUCUGGAUCUCCUGACCUCGUAAUCCACCCACCUGGCCUCCCAAAGUGCUAGGAUUACAGGUGUGAGCCACGGCGCCCUGAGGACUGGCAGACCCAUCUGACUUUCUUGGAGUAGAGGAGGAAGAGGAGGAAGAAGAGGUGCAGGAGGAAGACCAGUGUUGAUUGAGCCAGCGGGAAGCAGAAUCUCUGGAGGGCCAUGCAGAGCCUUGGGGACUGACCAAGUUCCCCCACUGAGGGGUCCCAGGCUGGACCGACAGGAGAGCCUGGGAGGAGUUCUGACCCUGGAGAGGAGGUUGGCCCAGCCAGGGAGACAUGUCCUGCUUCAGAGAGGCCUUUCUAAAAACAAAACCCAUCCCUGAGGAAGCAAGACAUCUGGUGACUGCUCCGUUCUACCCCAAUUCUCACUCACUCUGGCCAGUGAAGCCGCUUCAGGAACAAC